UGCCAGCCGCCGCGGUAAUACGGAGGGUGCGAGCGUUAAUCGGAAUUACUGGGCGUAAAGCGCGCGUAGGCGGUUGUUUAAGUCGGAUGUGAAAGCCCCGGGCUCAACCUGGGAACUGCAUUCGAUACUGGCCAACUAGAGUGCGAGAGAGGGAGGUAGAAUUCCACGUGUAGCGGUGAAAUGCGUAGAUAUGUGGAGGAAUACCGGUGGCGAAGGCGGCUAACUGGCUCGGUACUGACGCUGAGAUGCGAAAGCGUGGGGAGCAAACAGGAUUAGAUA
rnacentral:rRNA from 1 species